ensembl:lncRNA
GCAAAGCAGUUUACGUUUCACGAGAGCUUGUGUGAUUUUGAUCAUUGUGCGCUAUAAACUGCUGUGCUGCAGUGUGACCGUCAAGCUGCUUGUGGUGUUUUCACUGGACAUCAAAAGUCAGUUCCUCUUCAAAAGUGUUAUUUUGUCUUUAUUAAAUAAAGUGCAUGUCAAACUUCGCGCGUAUGUGUUUUAGAUAUCAAAAUAUUUACAGCAGUAUAAUCAGAAUCAUACUUCACAAACACACAUGUACAAUGAGCUACAGGUAUGAAAUCAGUAUCAUACAUGACCAUCCUCCUGAGGUGACUGUAGAAGUUGUAAGUGUAAAAAUAUGAAGGAUUUACAUGACACAAACCAAAUUUGAGGUAAGAAAGUAUGAUUUCAUUUUUUAUUUUUAUUUUACAUCAUGUUAAUGGAUAGUAUAUGAUUACAUUGAUAUUGUGAAUUGAAGUUAAAUCAAAAUUGUGAUGAGGGUAACACUUUAUUAGCAAAAUUCAUUUUUUAUACAUGUGUAGGCCUAUUUAUUUAUGUAUGUAUUUAUUCAUUUCUUAGUACUAGUGUUACCACUCUUCCCAGUAGUGGGUUAGCUUUUAAGACCAUCACUCCUUGAACUUGACAUUAACUUUUAUAAUAUAUAUUUCAUCAAAUGCAGAUUUUAUUGGUUGCUAGGAUGCAACUGUCUGAUGAAAAACACCAACCAUCUGUCUAUUUUUAUAAUACUGGUGUUUUUUUUCCAUUCUCAGUAUUAUAAGGACUUACAAGCAUGUAGACAUGAGAGAGAUAUUCUCAGACAUUCUUUUCUGGAAGGAAGAGUGUGCAACUCAGGUGUUGGUGGAGCUACAGAUUUGUGCCCUGGAGAGAGCUAGGGCAAAAGGUACUCCACAGGGGCAUUAUGGGUAUCAUUAUGAACUCCCUCAGCAUUGUGUCUGUCUGUAUGGAGGAUGUGUGUGGGGACAGCUUUUGCCAUCAUAGUUGGGAUCAAAUUGUGCCCACAAGGUUAGUACAACCUGUAAUUACCUUCAUGGCUGGGAACGGCUAAUGGUCCUUAUCAGCAAAAAUGGCUUUAAUAAAGCAUAUUUAAAAAUGCCUUAAAUGGAGAGU